ACUCCCCAAAAUUAACACACACAUCCUUAUCCUCGUCCACCGACCUGAUCAUCCUCUCGCAAUCCUCGACCCCGCACGACCGCACCUACCCCCCAGCUUCCUCAGCACCAUCUGCAGCUCCUUGGCCGAGACCACCCCAUUCCGAUCCAGGUCGUACGCGUCAAACGCGUCCUUCAGCUCCGACUCGGCGUCGUUCCCGGACCUCUGGAAAUCUUUGAACUCCUUGUCCACGAACCCAUCGAUUCAUCGUUCAUCACCAGGACUCCGAUUUCCCCAUCGAUUACGAUACCGACAAUGGAUUCGAGGUGCUCAAAUUCCAAAUAUUUUCGCUCACUUCGAUCGAUCCUGAGGAGCAAAAGAUCUUAGUUGAGGAUCAGAAUUUGAUCAUGACUGAAUCCUCUGAUCUCGAAUCCAUCUCCUCUAAGCUCCA